rnacentral:rRNA from 1 species
AUUGAACGCUGGCGGCAUGCUUUACACAUGCAAGUCGAACGGCAGCGCGGGCUUCGGCCUGGCGGCGAGUGGCGAACGGGUGAGUAAUACAUCGGAACGUGCCCAGUAGUGGGGGAUAGCUCGGCGAAAGCCGGAUUAAUACCGCAUACGACCUGAGGGUGAAAGCGGGGGAUCUUCGGACCUCGCGCUAUUGGAUCGGCCGAUGGCAGAUUAGCUAGUUGGUGGGGUAAAGGCCUACCAAGGCGACGAUCUGUAGCUGGUCUGAGAGGAGGACCAGCCAACCGGGGACGGGAAACGGGCCCAGACCCCAAGGGGAGGAAGAGGGGGGGAUAUUGGGACAAUGGGGGAAAGCCUGACCCAGCAAGGCGGGGGGUGGGAUGAAGGCUUCCGGGUUGUAAAGCACUUUUGGCGGGAACGAAAAGGACUGUGCAAAUACCACGGUUCGAGGCCGGGACCAGAAGAAUAAGCACCGGUAAACUACGG